AUUUUUAAAUUGCUGUGGUAUUUUGACUAUACAAAGGUAUUGUAAUAAGAUUUUAAUUGAAUGCUAAAAGAAUGGACUAAUUUAAAAAAAAAACUUUUUUAAAAAAUAAAAAUUGAAUUUUUUUUAAUUUGGUGCAAAAACAAUUAUUAUUAUUUAAAGACAAGAAGACCCUAAGAAUUUAUGAUUUUAUGUAAAUUAAAAAUUUUUUCAAAAAAAUCUUGAUUGGGGCGAUUCAAAAAAUAUUAACAACUUUUUAAAUUUAAAUUGAUCUAUUAUUAAUAAACUAAUCAGAAUUAAAUACUCUAGGGAUAACAGCGUAAUAAUUUUUGAUAGAUCUUAUUGACAAAAUAGUUUGCGACCUCGAUGUUGGAUUAGGAUUCUUUUUUAAUGAAGAAGUUAAAAAAAGAAGUUUGUUCAACUUUUAAAUUCCUACAUGUUCUGAGUUCAGACCGGAA
rnacentral:rRNA from 1 species